CAGGGUUAUCUAAAACUUGCCUCCUGCCUUCUUCUGCACUCCUCCGGGCAACCAACAUCAGCAGAUCUCUGACAUUUUGCCAGACUUUUUUCCUACAUUACUUGGAGAAUUGGAGGCUCCAUCUUCUUUCCAAACUAUAGCUGAAAACUGAAUUCAUAGUGAGUAAAUUCAGGAGCUGAUUGCUGCUGGGCAGUGUCAGGAGUUUGCUCCUCCAAGGCAAUCAGUAGAUCCAGCUCACAAGGAAGAGAUACACAACUGUCCCUGGAGACAGGCAAAUGAGAGCUGUGCAUGCACAUGGUUAGCUAUGAGGAAAUCUGAAAUUGCUCAAAUCCUGAUGUGGCUACUAGCAUCACCACACAGGUCAAGAGUGUCAGAGAGACAGGGAUGCUAGCAGAGGCUUUGAAACACUUCAGAGCUAGCAUUAGAUUCCUGUGGUGAACGCUGUAAGUAAUGCGGAUUUGCAUCGGUAAAGAAGUUCAUUAUGAUAUUCUUUCUCUCUGUGCAAUUACUUUAAUGUUUAGUUUUGAAAUAAAGAGGAAUGCAGACUUUCAUCUGUACAUGGGGAGGAAAAAAAAGCAGUAUACUACUUCUGUGAAAAAAAAAAAUAAGUUUAAGGAAGCAGUAGGGUUUCACUGAGGCAACAGGAAAACUUCAAAAGCAGUAGCAUGUUUAUAUGGCUGUUCAGAGUUGCAGAUGACUAAACUGUGUUUUAGCUUAGAAAUCUGUCUCUAUCAGCUGAAAUAUUUUAAAUUUUACACUCUUUGUGCACCUCUUCAAAUAUAGCUCUUUUGUUAAGCAGGAAGGGUCUUUAACUGUGUAGAACAUUCCCUUAACAAGUCCUGAUGCCAAAGAGAUUUAAAAACUUAUAGCUAAAUGAAAUAAUGGAAAAGGCAAGAAUCAGUGUGCUGGGAAAUAAGGCAGUGAGUCAUGGUAAAAAAGGGAUCUUUAGGAGUCCCCAGUUAACAAUAGUAUUGCAGGUCUAUGUAGGGAAAUACAUCUAGUGACUUAAUGGGAAAAAUUGAUAGGAUUAGGAGAGUGCUGAGAAGCAGAUGAUUGGAGUCAUCUGUUUAAGAACAAAAUGACAUUAAAAGUAGAAGGUCAUAGGAUUUAAAGAUUAGGAAUAUUAAGUCUAGAAAAAUAGCGAACUCAGAAGUCAAAGCUGCUAGGCAGUCUCUUCUGCCACGUUAUCAGUUACUGGAGCAGGGAAAAUAAUAGUGGGAUGUGAUUGGCAUAGCUAUGUAGUUUGAGUUAUGUACAGAGAUGUGUUUGUUCUACUUGUAAAACCACUGAAGUAUCUUUGUAUUAGACUUUUAUUUUUAAAGGCCCUUAAUAGCUAUCCAAAGAAGGCAAAGGCUGUUAAUCUUUUCCUCAAUGCCCAUCCUGAUAGGUGUUAGCAGAGACAGACAAGAGAGGAAAACAGAAUUUGCUGCCAACAGACUGUAUUAGAAUUGCUGGAUAAUGCCAUGGUAUUUACCUGAAACAUGUUAUCAUUUAAGCAGUGACAGCAGAACAAUUAAGUGCUAAUCUAAGGUAGAUGUUUCUGAUUACAGUGGUUCCAUACAGCUAACGUGGCCACACUGUCAGCUGGGUCUGUGUAGCCUUGGCACAAGGAGGGAGGUGGAGGUGGGAACAGAUUAGUUUUAGCCUCCCCAGCAACCUUUGGGUCCCAGUUUCUAUUAACAUAUGAGCUUCCCCCAUCAUGAUAUUGUGUCUUUAACCCAACCUUAUGGCAUGGCCAGACCAAGAAAGGGUGACUGCUAAUUGCUACAUUAGCAGAUCUCACUUCAAGUGCUGGGCCACGUUAUUCUUCUGUUGCUUUGAGCUACUAGAAUGGGAAAUAGUAUCUGAAGUGGCCCUUCCUAAGGUAUGUGAUGUAACACUUCAGACAAGAUGCUGAUCUCUGCUUCUGCCAGGCAGGCAAUAAAUCAUCCUUAAAUCAGCCACUAUCAAGUGCAGUUCCCUUCAUAGCUGCUUCACAUGACCCCUGAGCCAGUCAGAGGUGCCAUCGGAGCAUGAACUUCUUUCCCUGUUGCUGCCUUGUGCUCCACUGAAGUCAACAGGAAAAAAAUUCUGCUUCUUGAUGGUCCUUUCAGUUGCUCCUCUUCUCUGGUAUCUGAGCAUUUUGCAGGAAAAAAUGCAAGCACUGAGGUAGAUAAAGAAUGAAUAAUAAGUUCUUUUUCAAACACAAAGCUAUCUCAGCAAUAUGCUCUCCUUAUAGCCACUGCCUUUUUCCAUCCUUAAAGUUGCAAAUCUUAAGAGUGUCAUUCCAAAAUCAGCUGGCAUUGGUGAAAUCCUUGCUCAUGCUUGCAUUUGCUUCAUUCCAUGCUGUGUUUUACUAGAUGACUAAACAUACUGAGAAUGUUGUGGUAAACACGCCAACUAUCUUCGAUAUUUGUGGGUAAGUGAAUUUGAAAGCAUAUUUUAGUAGCCUCCUAAUUCCUGUUCCAAACAGCCUCUGCCUAUAUAUUUGAUGCUGUUUUCUCUCAGUUCUUAGGCUGAUUUUUGUAAUCAAAUCAGCAUGAAACCAAAUAGAACAUAAUUAUAUGAGUGCACUAAUAAAUAAACCUAUUAACCCUUUAAAAUAAUAUUGCAGUAAAAAUAUACACAUUCACAGCUUAAAUUUAGUGAAUGUUGAGUUUGAAUAAUAAGUGAGCAGAAAAAUGACCACAUACAUAGGAAAGGACAGAGGAGGGGCAAUCAAGGGAGAAACAAAAAUGGCUUAGGAAGCAAUGAGAAGUCUGGAAAAGGAAAGCAUCUAAAAAAAAAAUCAUUGAUGCAGAAAGUCAAAGAAAUAAACAGCAAUUAGUGAUUCAAAUACCUAAUUAAUAUUCUCUUUUUACAAAAGAACACCUGCAAAGCAUUCACUGCUGGGUCUUUUUAGCUAUUGAUUGGUGGAAGGAAAAAAAAGGAGAAAAUUGCUGCUGCCAACUGCAGUUAAAAGGAGUUGACAAAUUGACACUAAGUGCUCCCUCACAUGGUGACUAUCCACACUGUUAUUAACUCAGCCCAUCCUUGCAGACGCUUGUACUUUAUUUAAUGCUCAGUGUUAUGGUUUUUAAUUCCUGGGUUUGCUCUACAUUGUGUAAUGGUUCCUGCAAAACAUAACAGUCUGAAUUUACCGAAGGGGAAGUAGUGUUUUUCUAACUUUAAUUUUAAAAAUCCUCAAAACUUAAAUGUGUAAAUGCUGGCUGCUUGUAAUUCUAACAAAACAUUAGUACUUCUGAAGUGGGGGGUUUCUUCUUUUUCUAAUACUGCAGAGGCUGAGUCAAGAUACUGUAGAGUGUAAAAUCUUACAAGUUGUGUUGAAGUUUUAAUCCUAAGUCUUUGUUUGGAUCCUCUGCUUUCAGACUGACUUAUGAAAUACUAUUGUGAUAAAAUAAACACAGUGAACAUAGCAUUAUAGGACAAAGAAUAUCUUACAUAUUCUGCAAGAAGCAGAGGAUUAUAGCAGUUGUAUUGUGACUUUACCUCCUGACAGACUUCAAUGGGAUCUAAACACCCAUGUAAUAGAAGGUACACUAUAUGACCCAAAAUAACAUGCCAGGGGUGUGUUGCUUUUACCACACAGUGAAAAGUCAAUCUAGAAACUGCACACUGAUAAAAUGGCAGAACUUCCCCCAUCCCUAGAUGGUGUUCUAGAGGACUUGAAAAAUAUGACAUAAAGGACUGAAUCUGAUUUAAAGAGGUGGCAUUUAUUUAAAGAUGAGCACACUAUGAGGAGUUUAUUUUGCAAUAUCAUACUGCUUUGUGUGUCUGGCUCAGUUGAAUGACAGCUCACGUGAAGAGUUUUUGUGUGUUUGAAAUUGUUGCUACAGUGGGCUACCUGCCUUCCUCUAUAGUUCUCUGAUAGAGCUUGUUAUGAUCUUGCUUUGGUACAGGAAGAAUUCCCUCCAUGACCCAGCCAGCAGGGUACAACCUAUCUCAGCUCAGUUUGCCACUCGUAACAGCUGCAGUUUUUUUUCCUGUUCUGAACCACAGUGGUGCAAUUCCAUGUGUGGCUGAAACUGGGCUCCAAAGUGUUGAUGAACCUGAACUUGUGAUGAAACGGGAGAGAACUACCUUCAUCUCUGCUGUCUGCGCCCAUCCUGCCCUCGGUGACCAGGGAGCAGAGACCAGCGCCUCCCUCUGCGCUUCCCGUCCUCAGGGAACUGCAGAGCAGCAAGGCUGCCUCUCACCCUCCUCUUCUCCAGACUGGAUGAUCCAAGUGACCUCAGCCUCUCCUCACAGGAUGCGUCUUCCAGCAUCUUUACCAGCUUUGCUGCCCUCCCCUGUAUGCUCCCAGAGCAUCCUUUUUUAUACCAGGGAGCCCAGAAGCGUACACCAUAUUCAAGCAGGAAGACAAACCAAAGUGAACAAUGGAGAAGAAUGAAGCAUGGACACAUUAAGUGACUCAGGCAAUCCCUGCUUCCUCCUUUCCUUCUGAUCAGUCCUCAUAGAGCAGUUCUGCUUCAGGUUGACUCAAAUUGGAGCCCAGCACAAUGCACAAGCCUUCCUGUGGCAUGUAAACCACUCUUUCAACUACAGCUACUUGUCCAUAAAUCUUUUCUC